rnacentral:rRNA from 1 species
GAUGAACGCUAGCGGCGUGCCUAAUACAUGCAAGUCGAGCGGUAACACUUCGGGUGACGAGCGGCGGACGGCAGAGUAACGCGUAGGAAUGUACCCCAAACUGAGGGAUAACUGCCCGAAAGGGUAGCUAAUACCGCAUGUGAUCUUCGGAUUAAAGCUUUUAGCGGUUUGGGAACGGCCUGCGUAUGAUUAGCUUGUUGGUGAGGUAAUGGCUCACCAAGGCGACGAUCAUUAGCUGGUCUGAGAGGAUGAUCAGCCUGACUGGGACUGAGACACGGCCCAGACUCCUACGGGAGGCAGCAGUAGGGAAUUUUCCACAAUGGGCGAAAGCCUGAUGGAGCAACGCCGCGUGCAGGAUGAAUGCCUUCGGGUUGUAAACUGCUUUUGUUUGUGACGAUUAUGACGGUAACAAGCGAAUAAGGGUCUGCUAACUACGUGCCAGCCGCCGCGGUAA